rnacentral:misc_RNA from 1 species
AAUUCUCAACCCCCCUAUUUUGUAAUGAGAUAGGUGUUCGGGCUUGGAUAAUGGCUGCUGCCGGAUCUUUAAGUAGAAUCGGCUCGGCUGAAAUACACGAGCUACCCAAUUUGGAAAUCGACGGUUUGACUCGGCGUAAUAACAUAUUUCGUUGAGGACGUCACCUUUCAAGCCAGAGGUGCUUCUAAUGCAAAUUCAUUUGACCA